rnacentral:rRNA from 1 species
GUGGGGAAUAUUGCACAAUGGGCGAAAGCCUGAUGCAGCGACGCCGCGUGAGCGAAGAAGUAUUUCGGUAUGUAAAGCUCUAUCAGCAGGGAAGAUAAUGACGGUACCUGACUAAGAAGCACCGGCUAAAAACGUGCCAGCAGCCGCGGUAAUACGUAUGGUGCAAGCGUUAUCCGGAUUUACUGGGUGUAAAGGGAGCGCAGGCGGUGCGGCAAGUCUGAUGUGAAAGCACGGGGCUCAACCCCGGUACUGCAUUGGAAACUGUCGUACUAGAGUGUCGGAGGGGUAAGCGGAAUUCCUAGUGUAGCGGUGAAAUGCGUAGAUAUUAGGAGGAACACCAGUGGCGAAGGCGGCUUACUGGACGAUAACUGACGCUGAGGCUCGAAAGCGUGGGGAGCAAACAGGAUUAGAUACCCCUGUAGUCC